UUGCCUAACGCAGAGAUUUCUUGAGAGACAGAACUUAUUUGUGUCUCAUACAGCGUUAACACAAGAGAUGUUGUGUUGUGUUUUUUACAGAGAUUAAAUGGAUAAUUUGCACUGUGGUGAUUUUCUGCUAUCACUGAAAAAUGUAGCUGUAUUUUUUAAGGGGUAUUGAUCGUGCCCUUCUUUCUUUAUACGCCAGAAAACCUGUCGUAUUUCUAUCUUUUUUAUUUUUGCCUUCGUCCAAUGGAAAGUGGAAUUAACCCAGGUCAUUUUUUGCGCAGGUGGUCUUUGGAUUUGCUCGGAUUUGGGUGGUUAUGUGGAGUUCCGGUAGCCGUUAAUGAAUGUCUUAUUUGGUGAGCAGUUGAUGAAGGAAGCAGUAGGAAUGAGGGAGACGACGUGUGGCCUUGUGCCAGUUAUUAGUGUUGGAAAAUAUUAGUAUUUUGUGAUUAUUUGAUUAUUUGGGUUUGCUUGGUAGUUUAGGCCUAGCCUAUGGGAAUUAGGGUUUCUAGGUUUUGCUCUCUAUAAAUAUAACUUAUAAUCUAAUAUGAAUAACAAGUUAGUUACAAUGUAGCCUCUUGGACUUUAUGUAGCUGUCUUGACCAUUUUGUAGUGUUUGAUAUCAAGAAUAUUUCU
rnacentral:lncRNA from 1 species